GGCUCUUCCUAUCAUUGUGAAG
rnacentral:snRNA from 1 species